rnacentral:rRNA from 1 species
UACAGAGGUCUCGAGCGUUAGGCGGAAUCACUGGGCGUAAAGCGCGUGUAGGCGGCUCGGUAAGUCUGCUCUGAAAGUCCAAGGCUCAACCUUGGGAUGCGGGUGGAUACUGCCGGGCUCGAGUCCGGAAGAGGCGAGUGGAAUUCCUGGUGUAGCGGUGAAAUGCGCAGAUAUCAGGAGGAACACCAAUGGCGAAGGCAGCUCGCUGGGACGUGACUGACGCUGAGACGCGAAAGCGUGGGGAGCAAACAGG